rnacentral:rRNA from 1 species
UACGUAGGGUGCAAGCGUUAUCCGGAAUUAUUGGGCGUAAAGAGCUCGUAGGCGGUUUGUCGCGUCUGCUGUGAAAACUGGGGGCUCAACCCCCAGCCUGCAGUGGGUACGGGCAGACUAGAGUGCGGUAGGGGAGAUUGGAAUUCCUGGUGUAGCGGUGGAAUGCGCAGAUAUCAGGAGGAACACCCGUAGCGAAGGCGGCACUCUGGGCCGAUACUGACACUGAGGAGCGAAAGCGUGGGGGAGCGAACAGGA